GUACGUGUUCCAGAUGAUGGGUCAGGGCAGAAAACCUAGCCUGAGAGGACCAACAAGCACCCAGGCUGGGCCAGCCAAGUGCUCCCGCUGCCCUGACACUGCUUCUUUGGGGUGGGCCCUGGAGUUGUGAGUCAGGCUGACUCAGAACCGGUGAUCAUGUUGGGUCUUGUAAAAGAUGGUUAAGGGUUUUGUGAAAAAAGGGAAGAGAUUAGAAAUGCAGGGAGAAAAGGCCUGUAGUCCAGCACUGAAGAUGGAAUGGUUGUCUAAUGAGCUUCCAGUUCCUGAGAUGACUCUGUGCAUUUGGAUUCUGUGAGAGUCCUCUUUAUGCUAGAGUCAGCUUGGGUGGGUGUCUGUUCCAAUAAUUCCUUACCUGAGGGAAUAGCUGACAUGCAAGAUAUAUGAUGACUGAAGGGUCUGGGGUGGUGUCUGAGGCAGUUUUUCACAGAGUCUAGGGUCUGUGUUGGCAUCACAAGGCAUUACAUCAGCAGAGUGGGUCUAUGACACUGUAGAAAAGAACAAAUACCCUUGGGCAAUCACCUCAUCUCCUAUGAACAGGUUUUCUUAUCAUAAAAGUGGGAGGCGAUGCUUCUUUCUGGCCUUCUCCCAGGGCCCGGUGGAGGUCCAGUGGCAGACAUGAGUGUGAGAGUACUGCCAAGGCCAGUCAUGUGGUAGGAAGUGAGCCACAGUGCUCCCAGGACAGGAGGAGUCAGCCCGUCUGUGCAGAGUGCUUUGGGAGGAGUGCUGUGGGCAGAUCUGUGCUGUAGAACUGUUGCUCUGGCUGCCGUGGAGAGUGGCUGGAGGGAAACAGACUAGAGGAUAAAUACCUGUUUGGCAGUGGCUCCAGGCACUGAGCAGAAGCAAUGACCUGAACUGAGGAGACAAGUGGAAGGAACUGAUUCAAGAAAUGUUUUGGCCAGGAUUUAACCUGAGAAAUGAGACAAUGAUGACUGUCAUGUUUUCAGCAAGGACAACUACGUGGUUAGGGUGUUGCCAUCUCUAAAAACCACAGGAGGAGAAGCAGUUUUGGGGGAGGGGGAGAAGCUGGACAUUGUUUGAGGUCCCCUUGGAAAUCACAUGUUGGAGACACAGAGCCACAAGGUGGAAGGAUCUUGGUCCCUGAAUCAUCACUUGGAGGAGAGACACCACCAAUUAGAAACACCUAUGUGAGCUGAACAAGAAAUCAGUGAUAUUGUCUGAGCCAAUAUACGUUUGGAAUUUGUUUGUUAUAGCAUCUAAGCAUUACCUUAACUAAUAUAGGGUUUAAGAAAUUUGUUGGUUGUUCAGUUGAUUCUCCAGCCUGGUCUGAAGCCCCUUGAGACAGCAGGCCUUUGUUAAAGUGCCAGAGCAGGAGUGGAGAGCAGACUGGAAAAGUCUAGAAAGCCGGAGAUGAAGGCCUCUGGUAGAGGAAGCUAAGAUUUCAGAGAGAAGGUAUCCCACAGUGUGGCAAGAGCCAAUGGGAGAAGGUGAGGAGUCUUAAGCAGGUCUGGGAACUGUGAUGCUGGGGGUCAGGAAUCACGUUGGGUGCUUAGUCCACUUGGGAACUGUGAUCUCUAACAAAGCAGGACAUGGGGUGGUGAGGGAGUGUCAGAGGGCUGAGCACUGUCUUGCAACCAGGGCAAUGGGAAGAAGUGUUUUAGUUAAAACUAGGCUAACAGCGCUGCCAUCACUCUGCCCUGUCAACUGCCAUGGCUGAGUGGAUCUGAGCAGGGUGUCUCAUCACUGGCGAGGAUUUGUUCAGUAGGUCACAGAGAUGCACACCUGGAAGCUGGUCCCUGAAAGGAGCAGCUGUAAAUUCUGAGGCCAGCUGGCUCCAUCCAGAAACAGCCAGACCCACAGCAAGAGUGCUUUCUUCAGUCAGUAGAGCAGCUUGGCACUCCCCAAAUUGCUUAUUGACACAUAUUUUUGAGCCUCAUGGAUAUCCCGUAUAAAUUCUGUGCCAGGUAAGGUCACCAAAGUGUUAAUAAGUGAGAGCUCUCAGGAGGAGCCAGGGUCUCCUCAUCCUUGGCCAGUGCUUCUCAUUAUAAAAUUUCUUUCACAG
ensembl:lncRNA